rnacentral:rRNA from 1 species
GAUGAACGCUGGCGGCGUGCUUAACACAUGCAAGUCGAACGGAAAGGCCACAGCUUGCUGUGGUACUCGAGUGGCGAACGGGUGAGUAACACGUGGGUGAUCUGCCCUGUACUUCGGGAUAAGCUUGGGAAACUGGGUCUAAUACCGGAUAGGUAUCACAUGUGGGUGUGUGGUUGGAAAGCUUUUGCGGUAUGGGAUGAGCUCGCGGCCUAUCAGCUUGUUGGUGGGGUAAUGGCCUACCAAGGCGUCGACGGGUAGCCGGCCUGAGAGGGUGUACGGCCACAUUGGGACUGAGAUACGGCCCAGACUCCUACGGGAGGCAGCAGUGGGGAAUAUUGCACAAUGGGCGCAAGCCUGAUGCAGCGACGCCGCGUGGGGGAUGACGGCCUUCGGGUUGUAAACUCCUUUCGUCAGGGACGAAGCGAAAGUGACGGUACCUGGAUAAGAAGCACCGGCUAACUACGUG